rnacentral:misc_RNA from 1 species
AAUGCUGUGCCACCACCCCUGGCCAAAGC